UACGUAGGUGGCAAGCGUUGUCCGGAAUUAUUGGGCGUAAAGCGCGCGCAGGCGGUCCUUUAAGUCUGAUGUGAAAGCCCACGGCUCAACCGUGGAGGGUCAUUGGAAACUGGGGGACUUGAGUGCAGGAGAGAAGAGUGGAAUUCCACGUGUAGCGGUGAAAUGCGUAGAGAUGUGGAGGAACACCAGGGGCGAAGGCGACUCUGUGGCCUGUAACUGACGCUGAGGCGCGAAAGCGUGGGGAGCAAACAGG
rnacentral:rRNA from 1 species